GGGGAUUUAGCUCAGUGGUAGAGUGCUUGCCUAGCAAGCACAAGGCCCUGGGCUCAAACCCCAGCUCCG
rnacentral:tRNA from 1 species